rnacentral:ncRNA from 1 species
GUCUAAGUACACACGCCCGGUACAGUAAAACUGCAAAUGGCUCAUUAAAUCAAUUAUGGUUCCUUUGAUCGCUCCAACGUUACUUGGAUAACUGUGGCAAUUCUAGAACUAAUACAUGCCAACGAGCGCUGACCUCCGGGGAUGCGUGCAUUUUAAUAUUUUGAAUAUAUCCCUCCACUGCAUAUUGUAACCCCCUUUUCCUCGAUCUGGAAGAUAUCGCGGAGGUAUUGCUUCAUAAACUGUCACUGAC